rnacentral:rRNA from 1 species
GAGUUUGAUCGUGGCUCAGAACGAACGCUGGCGGCAUGGCCUAACACAUGCAAGUCGAACGGGAUCCGGACUUCGGUUCGGUGAGAGUGGCGGACGGGUGAGUAACGCGUGGGAACCUGCCCAGUGGUGGGGGAUAACUGCGGGAAACUGCAGCUAAUACCGCAUGAGCCCGAGAGGGGAAAGAUUUAUCGCCAUUGGAGGGGCCCGCGUUCGAUUAGGUAGUUGGUGAGGUAAUGGCUCACCAAGCCGACGAUCGAUAGCUGGUCUGAGAGGAUGAUCAGCCACACUGGGACUGAGAUACGGCCCAGACUCCUACGGGAGGCAGCAGUGGGGAAUAUUGGACAAUGGGGGCAACCCUGAUCCAGCAAUGCCGCGUGAGUGAUGAAGG